rnacentral:rRNA from 1 species
CCGUAGCCCAAGAGACUGGGAUAACACCUGGAAACAGAUGCUAAUACCGGAUAACAACACUAGACGCAUGUCUAGAGUUUAAAAGAUGGUUCUGCUAUCACUCUUGGAUGGACCUGCGGUGCAUUAGCUAGUUGGUAAGGUAACGGCUUACCAAGGCAAUGAUGCAUAGCCGAGUUGAGAGACUGAUCGGCCACAUUGGGACUGAGACACGGCCCAAACUCCUACGGAAGGCAGCAG